rnacentral:rRNA from 1 species
UGUAAAUAUUGUUUAAUUUAAUAUGUUAGGAGAAAGAAUUUAGGAAAAUCAAUUUUUAGGAAAGUAAAGGUUAAAGAAAUUUAAAUGUAAAACGAUAGUUAAGAGUACUGUAAAGGAAGAGUGAAAGAAAAAUAAAAAAGUUAAAUAGAAGUUGUAAAAAUGUAUACCUUGUGUAUCAGGGAAAGUUAAAAUUAAUUAAAUAAUAUUAGAAUCUCGAAAUAAAUAACAGUUAAUUUUAUAAAAAAUUUUUGUGACAAAAAGAUUUUGAAUAUAAAGUUAAAGAUGAAAUAUCAAUCGAGUUUUAUUAUAUCUGGUUUUUUAAGAAAUGAAUUUAAUUCAGACUUAAAAUGAAUAUAAGGUUGUUUAGGGUUUGGAAUAGGAGGGAAUAGCUUCUUAUUCAAAAUUAAAUUGUAAAUAGUUUAGUAAAUAAAAGUGUUAUAUUCUAGGCUUAGAAGUAGCCAUGGUGGAAGAGUGUUUAAACUAAGAAAUGACGUAAAAUAAUUUGUUUAAACUUUACUUAGUAUUAAAAAAUAAAUGUGAGUAGUAUCUAUUUAGAUAAAAUGACUUUAUUAGUAGAAGUGUGUUGUAAAUAGGGUAUUUAGAAUAAGAGUUGAAGUUUAAAGUUGUAAAGACGUUAAAAAGGAACUCGGCAAAAAUGUUUCCUUGCCUGUUUAUCAAAAACAUGUCCAUUUGAAGAUGUAAAUGGUCUGGCCUGCUCACUGAUAAAAUUAUUUAAGAGCCGCGGUAUAUUGACCGUGCAAAGGUAGCAUAAUCAUUAGGGGUUUAAUUGGAACCUGGAAUGAAGGGUUGGACAAAGGAAAAACUGUCUUUAUGGUGAAAUUUGAAAUUUACCUUUAAGUGAAAAGGCUUAAAUGUUUCAGGGGGACGAUAAGACCCUAUAAAGCUUUAUAAAUAAUUUAGAUUUAGUUGAUUUAUACUUAUAAUAGUUAAGUUUAAUUAUUUUAUUUUAUUGGGGUGAUAUGAGUACAAUUAUUGUAACUGCUUAAUAGUAGUUCUGUUAUAGUAGAAUUAAACAAGUGAAUGAUCCUUAGAUUAAGAUUAUAAGACUAAGUUACUUUAGGGAUAACAGCGUUAUUUUUCUUGAGAGUUCUUAUUGAAAGAGAAGAUUGCGACCUCGAUGUUGAAUUAAAAUAUCUAUAUGAUGCAGCAGUCAUAAAAGAGGGUCUGUUCGACCUUUAAAUUUUUACAUGAUUUGAGUUCAGACCGGCGUGAGCCAGGUCGGUUUCUAUCUCCUGAUAGAGAUGAAAUUACUUUAGUACGAAAGGAUUAAGUGAAUUUAAAUAUUUUAGUUUGGUUGUAAAU